AUAGGUUAAUGAGGCGAACCGGGGGAACUGAAACAUCUAAGUACCCCGAGGAAAAGAAAUCAACCGAGAUUCCCCCAGUAGCGGCGAGCGAACGGGGAGGAGCCCAGAGCCUGAAUCAGUGUGUGUGUUAGUGGAAGCGUCUGGAAAGGCGCGCGAUACAGGGUGACAGCCCCGUACACAAAAAUGCACAUAUUGUGAGCUCGAUGAGUAGGGCGGGACA
rnacentral:rRNA from 1 species